CCUACGGGAGGCAGCAGUGGGGAAUUUUCCGCAAUGGGCGAAAGCCUGACGGAGCAACGCCGCGUGAGGGAUGAAGGCCUCUGGGCUGUAAACCUCUUUUAUCAAGGAAGAAGAUCUGACGGUACUUGAUGAAUAAGCCACGGCUAAUUCCGUGCCAGCAGCCGCGGUAAUACGGGAGUGGCAAGCGUUAUCCGGAAUUAUUGGGCGUAAAGCGUCCGCAGGCGGCCCAGAAAGUCUGCUGUUAAAACGUGGAGCUUAACUCCAUCAUGGCAGUGGAAACUGUUGGGCUUGAGUGUGGUAGGGGCAGAGGGAAUUCCCGGUGUAGCGGUGAAAUGCGUAGAUAUCGGGAAGAACACCAGCGGCGAAGGCGCUCUGCUGGGCCAUAACUGACGCUCAUGGACGAAAGCCAGGGGAGCGAAAGGGAUUAGAUACCCCUGUAGUCCUGGCCGUAAACGAUGAACACUAGGUGUCGGGGGAAUCGACCCCUUCGGUGUCGUAGCUAACGCGUUAAGUGUUCCGCCUGGGGAGUACGCACGCAAGUGUGAAACUCAAAGGAAUUGACGG
rnacentral:rRNA from 1 species